CGGGGCGUUGGCCGACCGGCACCGGCGGCUCGUGGUGGUCAGGCUGGCCUCGUCGCCGGACGAGGAAGUGCCCUGUACGACCCUGGACGUACCGG
rnacentral:tRNA from 2 species